UCUCUCUCUCUCUUUCGGUCUCUCCCUUCCGUUAUUAUCAAUAGAGAGAGAAGAGAUAUCGCAGAAGCCAAAGAAGAUGGAUUCUACAACAACCGCUGGUGUUGGUGGGGAAGAUACAAUCAGUGGGAUCGAUCUCUCUUCUUCGGUGGUCUCGCAAUGGACGGCCACGAUCUCCCGCCGCUACCAGCACCUCCUUGACAAGUCGACCCCUCACGUGCUCCGGCGGUGGACUGCAUUCGGUGCAAUCGCUCUUCUCUACGUCCUUCGCGUCUACCUCAUCCAGGGCUUCUACAUCGUCUCCUACGGCCUCGGCAUCUACAUCCUCAACCUCCUCAUCGCCUUCCUCUCCCCGCAGGUGGACCCCGAGAUCCAGGAGCUCGUCGACGGGCCCACCCUCCCCACGCGCGGCUCAGACGAAUUCCGCCCGUUCGUUCGCCGCCUCCCUGAAUUCAAGUUCUGGUACUCCAUAACAAAAGCCUUCUGCAUUGCUUUCGUGAUGACUUUCUUCAGCGUGUUUGAUGUGCCUGUAUUUUGGCCAAUCCUUCUCUUCUACUGGCUGAUGCUGUUCAUGCUCACAAUGAAGAGACAGAUCAAGCACAUGAUCAAAUACAAAUAUGUCCCCUUCUCCUUUGGCAAACAGCGCUACACAGGGAAGAAACCAGCUUCACCCAACAAUGCAAGCCUUCCUAGGGAUUGAACUUUCGUGCAGGUUGACAUAAUGCUGAUCAUACACCUACAUGCACAUGGACACAUCAUACACCUACAUGGACACAUGAUCCAUCUCAUCAGGGUAAGUUGGAAGGUCCAUGGUGAGAUAAAGCAUGGGGGAGAGGAGGUUUUUUAUGCAUUGUUCUUUAUCUUUUCAUUUUCUCUUCUUUUCUUUUCUUUUCUUUUCUUCUUCUUCUUCUUCUUCUUUUUUGGCUUAAUUUAAGAAUUUGUUAAAUAUCAAGUGCGACAGUGAUAAUUGUUUUGUAGCAUGCACACACAUUAACAACAGGGAAUGCCUAGCAAGCAAAAAAAGAAAGAAGAUGAACAUAACCCUUGUUGUUGCUGAAUGCCAUGAUAUUAAGAACCAUUGGCAUUCUGAGGAACCAGUGGACUUACUGUAGAGGAUUUCUAAACCUGUAUAGGUGGAAUUUUACUGA